rnacentral:miRNA from 1 species
UAUGUAAUGAUGAUGUAUGG